GAUGAACGCUGGCAGCGUGCUUAACACAUGCAAGUCGAACGAAGCAUUUAGAACGGAUUACUUCGGUUUGAAGUUCUUUAUGACUGAGUGGCGGACGGGUGAGUAACGCGUGGGUAACCUGCCUAGUACUGGGGGAUAGCAGCUGGAAACGGCUGGUAAUACCGCAUAAGCGCACAAUGUUGCAUGACAUGGUGUGAAAACCUCCGGUGGUAUAAGAUGGACCCGCGUCUGAUUAGCUAGUUGGUGAGAUAACAGCCCACCAAGGCGACGAUCAGUAGCGGACCUGAGAGGGUGACCGGCCACAUGGGGACUGAGUCGCGGCCCAGACUCCUAUGGGAGGCAGCAGUGGGGAAUAUUGCACAAUGGAGGAAACUCUGAUGCAGCGACGCCGCGUGAGCGAAGAAGUAAUUCGUUAUGUAAAGCUCUAUCAGCAGGGAAGAUAGUGACGGUACCUGACUAAGAAGCUCCGGCUAAAUACGUGCCAGCCGCCGCGGUAA
rnacentral:rRNA from 1 species